UGCGUAGGCGGGUUUGCAAGUCAGACGUGAAAUACCGAGGCUUAACUUCGGGGCUGCGUUUGAAACUGUAGAUCUUGAGUGAAGUAGAGGCAAGCGGAAUUCCUAGUGUAGCGGUGAAAUGCGUAGAUAUUAGGAGGAACACCAGUGGCGAAGGCGGCUUGCUGGGCUUUAACUGACGCUGAGGCACGAAAGCAUGGGGAGCAAACA
rnacentral:rRNA from 1 species